UGGGACUGAGACACGGCCCAGACUCCUACGGGAGGCAGCAGUGGGGAAUAUUGCACAAUGGGCGCAAGCCUGAUGCAGCGACGCCGCGUGAGGGAUGACGGCCUUCGGGUUGUAAACCUCUUUCGCCAGGGACGAAGCGCAAGUGACGGUACCUGGAUAAGAAGCACCGGCUAACUACGUGCCAGCAGCCGCGGUAAUACGUAGGGUGCGAGCGUUGUCCGGAAUUAUUGGGCGUAAAGAGCUCGUAGGCGGUUUGUCGCGUCGGCCGUGAAAUCUCCACGCUUAACGUGGAGCGUGCGGUCGAUACGGGCAGACUUGAGUUCGGCAGGGGAGACUGGAAUUCCUGGUGUAGCGGUGAAAUGCGCAGAUAUCAGGAGGAACACCGGUGGCGAAGGCGGGUCUCUGGGCCGAUACUGACGCUGAGGAGCGAAAGCGUGGGGAGCGAACAGGAUUAGAUACCCUGGUAGUCCACGCUGUAAACGUUGGGCGCUAGGUGUGGGCGACAUUCCACGUUGUCCGUGCCGYAGCUAACGCAUUAAGCGCCCCGCCUGGGGAGUACGGCCGCAAGGCUAAAACUCAAAGGAAUUGACGGGGGCCC
rnacentral:rRNA from 1 species